rnacentral:rRNA from 1 species
UACAGAGGUCUCAAGCGUUGUUCGGAUUCAUUGGGCGUAAAGGGUGCGUAGGUGGCGCCGUAAGUCGGGUGUGAAAUUUCGGAGCUUAACUCCGAAACUGCAUUCGAUACUGCGGUGCUUGAGGACUGGAGAGGAGACUGGAAUUCAUGGUGUAGCAGUGAAAUGCGUAGAGAUCGGGAGGAACAUCUGUGGCGAAGGCGGCCAUCUGGACCAGCACUGACACUGAGGCACGAAAGCGUGGGGAGCAAACAGG